rnacentral:rRNA from 1 species
AAAAACUCCGGUGGUAUACGAUGGAUCCGCGUCUGAUUAGCCAGUUGGCGGGGUAACGGCCCACCAAAGCGACGAUCAGUAGCCGGCCUGAGAGGGUGAACGGCCACAUUGGGACUGAGACACGGCCCAAACUCCUACGGGAGGCAGCAGUGGGGAAUAUUGCACAAUGGGGGAAACCCUGAUGCAGCGACGCCGCGUGAGUGAAGAAGUAUCUCGGUACGUAAAGCUCUAUCAGCAGGGAAGAAAAUGACGGUACCUGAUUAAGAAGCCCCGGCUAACUACGUGCCAGCAGCCGCGGUAAUACGUAGGGGGCAAGCGUUAUCCGGAUUUACUGGGUGUAAAGGGAGCGUAGACGGCAGCGCAAGUCUGGAGUGAAAUGCCGGGGCCCAACCCCGGAACUGCUUUGGAAACUGUGCAGCUCGAGUGCAGGAGAGGUAAGCGGAAUUCCUAGUGUAGCGGUGAAAUGCGUAGAUAUUAGGAGGAACACCAGUGGCGAAGGCGGCUUACUGGACUGUAACUGACGUUGAGGCUCGAAAGCGUGGGGAGCAAACAGGAUUAGAUACCCUGGUAGUCCACGCCGUAAACGAUGAUUACUAGGUGUCGGGGAGCCAAGGCCCUCCG